rnacentral:rRNA from 1 species
UACGUAGGGAGCAAGCGUUGUCCGGAAUCAUUGGGCGUAAAGCGCGCGUAGGCGGCUUCGUAAGUCCGUUGUGAAAGUCAAAGGCUCAACCUUUGAAAGCCGAUGGAUACUGUGAAGCUAGAGUACGGAAGAGGCGAGUGGAAUUCCUGGUGUAGCGGUGGAAUGCGCAGAUAUCAGGAGGAACACCAAUAGCGAAGGCAGCUCGCUGGGACGUUACUGACACUGAGGCGCGAAAGCGUGGGGAGCGAACAGG